GGGGAUGAUUGGCUUCGACAGGGAGAUCGGCUCAUACAGAUGCAUGGCAUAGCUGUGGUACCUAUACAAACUGCCACAACCCAAUAAGUGCAACUAAAACAGCACGUGGCGUUCUGAGCCCAAUUCAGGCUUCAGACCUCCAGUUCGCUUUCGCGUAAGUCCACCUUGUGGCAGCCAUCGCGGCCGUUUCGCUACCGACAUCCGAUACGUAGUUUGAAACGUCAUACUUUCGGGUCCGCCUACCCUAUCGCACCGUAGGGACGGCUAAAGAAAGAGUGCUCGACGAUGCGUCAUCUUGUGCAUUCCACACUCGCACCGUUUAAAAAACUCUGAAUGUGCUACGCCCUGUAGAUAUUUGUGUGUUCCCUCACUGCACGCGGGUCCGAUUCCCGCCAUCUCCACCA
rnacentral:tmRNA from 1 species